GACGAACGCUGGCGGCGUGCCUAAUACAUGCAAGUUGAGCGCUGAAGGUUGGUACUUGUACCAACUGGAUGAGCAGCGAACAGGUGAGUAACGCGUGGGGAAUCUGCCUUUGAGCGGGGGACAACAUUUGGAAACGAAUGCUAAUACCGCAUAAAAACUUUAAACACAAGUUUUAAGUUUGAAAGAUGCAAUUGCAUCACUCAAAGAUGAUCCCGCGUUGUAUUAGCUAGUUGGUGAGGUAAAGGCUCACCAAGGCGAUGAUACAUAGCCGACCUGAGAGGGUGAUCGGCCACAUUGGGACUGAGACACGGCCCAAACUCCUACGGGAGGCAGCAGUAGGGAAUCUUCGGCAAUGGACGAAAGUCUGACCGAGCAACGCCGCGUGAGUGAAGAAGGUUUUCGGAUCGUAAAACUCUGUUGGUAGAGAAGAACGUUGGUGAGAGUGGAAAGCUCAUCAAGUGACGGUAACUACCCAGAAAGGGACGGCUAACUACGUG
rnacentral:rRNA from 1 species